rnacentral:misc_RNA from 1 species
UUUCCGUAGGUGAACCUUCGGAAGGAUCAUUACCCAAGUACGAUGCCUGCGAGGAGACAACGACUCCAGGCAAGCGUUCUACCACCCUUGACUUUGAGCACCUUUCGUUUCCUCGGCGGGUUCGCCCGCCAGCGAGGACCCCCUAAACGCUUUGCAGUUUGCAGUAUUUGUCUGAAAAACAUACCAAUAAUCAAAACUUUCAACAAUGGAUCUCUUGGUUCUGGCAUCGAUGAAGAACGCAGC